UACGAAGGGGGCUAGCGUUGUUCGGAAUCACUGGGCGUAAAGGGCGCGUAGGUGGCACUAUAAGGCCGUGGUGAAAGUCUGGGGCUCAACCCCAGAUCUGCCGCGGCGACUGUAGAGCUUGGGCACCGUAGAGGCAGAUGGAAUUCCGGGUGUAGCGGUGGAAUGCGUAGAGAUCCGGAAGAACACCGGUGGCGAAGGCGGUCUGCUGGGCAGUUGCUGACACUGAGGCGCGACAGCGUGGGGAGCAAACAGG
rnacentral:rRNA from 1 species